GGUGCCCUCACGAGGUGAGUGUGAACGGGUGAGGAGCCAGCCAGCCACUCCCUGCCACCAUCGUCCCCUGAGAAAGCAAUUUCCUUCCCCUCCAACCAGCACAGGCUCUAAAAUACGGUCUCAGAGACCCUGAGUCUGAGGUAAUUUGUUUUGCUGCUUUGGAUGAAAUAUUGUGGCCUAUUCUUCCCAGCGCCCAAGUCACUUCCUGAAGUUAAAUGUGCCUAAGGGGCGGCAAUCAUGCAAUUAAUGUAUAGAGGCAGCCAGGGGUAGUGGCUCACACCUGUAAUUCCAGCACUUUGGGAGGCUGAGGUGGGCAGAUCACUUGAAGCCAGGAGUUCAAGACCAGCCUGGCCAACAUGGUGAAACUCCAUCUCUACCAGAAAUACAAAAAUUAGCCAGGCGUGGUGGAACACGCCUGUAAUUACAGUUACUAGGGAGGCCGAGGCAGGAGAAUUGCUUGAGCCCAGGAGGUGGAGGCUGCAGUGAGCUGAGCUUGCACCACUGCAUGCCAGCCCGGGCAACAGAGCAAGACUCUGUCUCAAACACAUACACGCCCCCCCCGACAACGUAUAGAGGCACCACUAAGGAACUUGUGUUAAUUUCAGUGUUCAACAGCAAAUUCAUCUCACCCCAUCCUCCACUGUUUUCCCCAGAGUCACUUGUUGGAUGGUGGGUUGUUGUUUUUGUUUUCCUUUCCCCAGCAGCCCCUUCUGUCCUGAAACCUAGAACAGCAGAAUGCUUCCCAUGUAUUGUUGACUUUCUCCUUGUGUUUUCUGUUCAGCGUGUGACAACAGCAGAGGUAGAAUGAAAGGAUUACAGAUCUUCGGAAAUGAGUAUUUUCAAGCUCGUUGCUUGGAGAAAUACCAAUCACUUUAACAAAGUUGCUGAAGGAAGGCUCCCAUUUGUCCUCUGCUACUCAGAACUUGUGCAAAAUGUGGCUUAUUGUCAUGACAAAGACACUGUCAGGCCAAGCCUUGUCAGCGUUCCUGAGAUGCCAGGCCACCUGUCAGUGUGUUUGGGAGGGGCAGACCACUGCCAUGCAUUCCAGCACACCUCACAAGCACUCCCCUUAUCUACAAGACGGCUUCGCAGAAAACUGGCUAGUUCAAUGAAAAAUGAAGAUACAGCGGGAGAUUAG
rnacentral:lncRNA from 1 species